UUCCGGUUGAUCCUGCCGGCGGCUACUGCUAUCAGGUUUCGACUAAGCCAUGCGAGUCAAGGGGUCGUAAGACACCGGCGUACUGCUCAGUAACACGCGGAUAAUCUACCCCCAGGUGGAGGAUAACCUCGGGAAACUGAGGCUAAUACCCCAUAGUUGUCAUGUGCUGGAAUGCUUUGACGAUGAAAGAAUUUCGCCUGAGGAUGAGUCUGCGGCCUAUCAGGUAGUAUGUGGUGUAAAGGACCACAUAGCCCAAGACGGGUACGGGCCUUGAAAGAGGGAGCCCGGAGAUGGACUCUGAGACACUAGUCCAGGCCCUACGGGGCGCAGCAGGCGCGAAAACUGUGCAAUGCGCGAAAGCGCGACACGGGAAGCCUGAGUGCCUUAACUAUGUUAAGGCUUUUCUUGAUCCUAAAAAGCUCAAGGAAUAAAGAGCUGGGUAAGACGGGUGCCAGCCGCCGCGGUAACACCCGCGGCUCGAGUGGUAGUCACUUUUAUUGAGCCUAAAGCGUUUGUAGCCGGAUUUGUAAAUCUCUAGGAAAAUACUUCUGCUUAACUGAAGAAAUUUUGGAGAGACUGCAAAUCUAGGGACCGGGUGAGGUUGAAUGUACUUCUGGGGUAGGGGUAAAAUCCUGUAAUCCUGGAAGGACGACCAGUGGCGAAGGCGUUCAACUAGAACGGAUCCGACGGUGAGGAACGAGGGCUAGGGGAGCAAACCGGAUUAGAUACCCGGGUAGUCCUAGCUGUAAACACUGCCCACUUGGUGUUGCUUCUUCUAUAGGGGGGAGCAGUGCCGGAGCGAAGGUGUUAAGUGGGCCGCUUGGGGAGUAUGGUCGCAAGGCUGAAACUUAAAGGAAUUGGCGGGGGAGCACCGCAACGGGAGGAGCGUGCGGUUUAAUUGGAUUCAACGCCGGA
rnacentral:rRNA from 1 species